GAUGAAGAACGUAGCGAAAUGCGAUAAGUAAUGUGAAUUGCAGAAUUCAGUGAAUCAUCGAAUCUUUGAACGCACAUUGCGCCCCUUGGUAUUCCGGGGGGCAUGCCUGUUCGAGCGUCAUUAUAACCCCUCAAGCUCAGCUUGGUGUUGGGGCCUGCCGACUGGCAGCCCUUAAAAUCAGUGGCGGCGCCAUCUGGCUCUAAGCGUAGUAAUUUCUCUCGCUAUAGAGUCCCGGUGGAUGCUUGCCAGCAACCCCCAACUUUCUAUGGUUGACCUCGGAUCAGGUAGGGAUACCCGCUGAACUUAAGCAUAUCAAUAAGCGGAGG
rnacentral:misc_RNA from 1 species